rnacentral:rRNA from 1 species
GGUGAGGUAACGGCCCACCAAGGCAAUGAUGGGUAGCCGGCCUGAGAGGGUGAACGGCCACAAGGGGACUGAGACACGGCCCUUACUCCUACGGGAGGCAGCAGUGGGGAAUAUUGGACAAUGGACCACAAGUCUGAUCCAGCAAUUCUGUGUGCACGAUGACGUUUUUCGGAAUGUAAAGUGCUUUCAGUCGGGAAGAAGUCAGUGACGGUACCGACAGAAGAAGCGACGGCUAAAUACGUGCCAGCAGCCGCG